rnacentral:rRNA from 1 species
AUACGGAGGGUGCAAGCGUUAAUCGGAAUUACUGGGCGUAAAGCGCGCGUAGGCGGCUAAGUAAGUCGGAUGUGAAAGCCCUGGGCUCAACCUGGGAAUUGCAUUCGAUACUGCUUGGCUAGAGUAUGGUAGAGGGUAGUGGAAUUCCUGGUGUAGCGGUGAAAUGCGUAGAUAUCAGGAGGAACAUCAGUGGCGAAGGCGGCUACCUGGACCAAUACUGACGCUGAGGUGCGAAAGCGUGGGGAGCAAACAGGAUUAGAAACCCCGGUAGUCC